GCCGCGGUAUAGCUCAGUUGGUGAGAGCAUCGCACGCGUAAUGCGAAGACGUGGGUUCGUAUCCCACUUACGGCC